GGAUGGCUCAGCUGGUUAGAGUGUGGUGCUGAUUACGCCAAGGUUGCAGGUUCGAUCCUUGUAUGGGGCAGCU
rnacentral:tRNA from 1 species